rnacentral:rRNA from 1 species
UACGUAGGGUGCGAGCGUUAAUCGGAAUUACUGGGCGUAAAGCGUGCGCAGGCGGUUUUGUAAGCCAGAUGUGAAAGCCCCGGGCUCAACCUGGGAAUGGCAUUUGGGACUGCAAGGCUGGAGUAUGGCAGAGGAGACUAGAAUUCCUGGUGUAGCAGUGGAAAUGCGUAGAUAUCAGGAGGAAUACCGAUGGCGAAGGCAGGUCUCUGGGCCAAUACUGACGCUCAUGCACGAAAGCGUGGGGAGCAAACAGG